UACAGAGGUCCCGAGCGUUGUUCGGAUUCAUUGGGCGUAAAGGGUGCGUAGGCGGUCUUCUAAGUUUGAUGUGAAAUCCCGGGGCUCAACCCUGGAAUUGCAUUGAAUACUGGAGGACUAGAGUACCGGAGAGGAAACUGGAAUUUACGGUGUAGCAGUGAAAUGCGUAGAGAUCGUAAGGAAGACCAGUGGCGAAGGCGAGUUUCUGGACGGUAACUGACGCUGAGGCACGAAGGCCAGGGGGAGCGAAACGGG
rnacentral:rRNA from 1 species